rnacentral:rRNA from 1 species
CUGACCUCAAAUCAGGUAGGACUACCCGCUGAACUUAAGCAUAUCAAAACCCCGGAAGAAAG